rnacentral:siRNA from 1 species
ACGACAUGUCUAUUUUGGCCUGGU